rnacentral:rRNA from 1 species
GAUGGGUACUGAGACAAGGACCCAGNNNNNACNGNNNNCAGCAGUCGCGAAANNUCCGCAAUGCANGAAAGUGUGACGGGGCUACCCCGAGUGCCAUCCGCUGAGGUUGGCUUUUCUUUGGUAUAACUANCCANGGGAAUAAGGAGAGGGCAAGACUGGUGUCAGCCGCCGCGGUAAUACCAGCUCUCCGAGUGGUAGGGAUGAUUAUUGGGCUUAAAGCGUCCGUAGCCUGCUUNGCAAGUCUCCUGUUAAAUUCAGCGACCUAAUCGUUGAGCCGCGGGAGAUACUNCUAGGCUAGGAGGCGGGAGAGGUCGACGGUACUUCUGGGGUAGGGGUGAAAUCCUAUAAUCCCGGGAGGACCACCAGUGNCGAAGGCUGUCGACUAGAACGCGCUCGACGGUGAGGGACGAAAGCUGGGGGAGCGAACCGGAUUGCCGUAAACGAUGCGAGCUAGGUGUUGGGGUGGNUAC